UUCGUCCUACGGGAGGCAGCAGUGGGGAAUAUUGCACAAUGGGCGAAAGCCUGAUGCAGCAACGCCGCGUGAGCGAUGAAGGCCUUCGGGUCGUAAAGCUCUGUCCUCAAGGAAGAUAAUGACGGUACUUGAGGAGGAAGCCCCGGCUAACUACGUGCCAGCAGCCGCGGUAAUACGUAGGGGGCUAGCGUUAUCCGGAAUUACUGGGCGUAAAGGGGGCGUAGGGGGUUUCUUAAGUCAGAGGUGAAAGGCAAGGGCUCAAC
rnacentral:rRNA from 1 species